UAGACGUCGUGUCCACGCGAUUCACAUUAAAAGAAACAUUUAGUGUCUUGCAUUUUAAUUAAGGAAACCUUGUGUUUAACACAAUCGAUUGUUGUCGUAUAAUGAUAUACCUAUCACUACGUUUUUACUAUUAGAGCUGCAUAACCAUUUUUACAUUGCGUUCGGACGGUAAUAUCUUGGACGUUGAAGUACUAGUCGACAAAUCGCCGCUUUGUACAAUAUACGUCUCGAAUAAAACGUACCUAUUUAAUUUAUUAAAUCGCGUUUAUUGCUCAUCGCACAAGAGGUUAUUUAUAUGACGUAUAAACAAUAUCGAACAAUAUUGUUGUUAUUCACAUUUAUCAAAUAUAAUAAUAUGCAACUGCCGCCAAUUCGAUUUACGACACAAAAUGGGAAUUUUAUAAACAUGAGUAUACAAGACUUCUUUAAAGGGCGUAAUGUCUUGGUAACAGGUGCGACCGGAUUUAUGGGCAAAGUUUUAAUUGAAAAACUAGUUCGGUCCUGUCCAGAUAUUGGUAAAAUUUGUCUGUUAGUGAGAAAUAAAAAAGGAAAAGAUACAAAUUCCAGAAUUAAAGAAAUUUUGGAUGUUAAACUAUUCGAUACAAUUAAAGAACAAAAGCCUGGUUUGAUGGAGGAAAAACUGUAUCCCGUACUGGGUGACAUGACCGAACUACGACUUGGGCUGUCGGACGAGGAUUACAGUUUUUUGGUAGAAAAUGUUUCGGUCGUGUUCCACGUUGCUGCCAGUGUCCGUUUUGAUGAACCGAUACGAGAUGCGACAAUUAUGAAUGUAAGAGGAACACGUGAAGUUGUGCAAUUGGCUAAACAAAUGAAACGUUUAAAAGUAUUUCUGCACGUGUCGACUGCGUAUUGUAACUGUAUAAGAGAACAUGUCGAAGAAAAAGUCUAUGAAUCGCCAAUUGGUUGGCGAGAAGCAAUCUCGAUCGCUGAAAAUCUAGAUCCGACCAUGAGUAGUAUUUUAACAAAAAAGUUUUUAGGAUCGUUUCCAAAUACAUACACGCUAACGAAAUUACUCGCUGAACAAAUAAUUAAUGAAGAACGGAAUAACAUACCGGUAGUAAUAUUCAGACCAUCGAUUGUUAUAUCAUCUUUGAAUGACCCUAUCAAAGGAUGGAUCGAUAAUUUCAAUGGACCGAUUGGACUUAUGAUGGCAUGCGGUAAAGGGAUCGUACGAAUAACAUACGGCGACAAAUCGAUAGUUCCCGAUUACAUGGCCGUUGAUAUAUCUAUAAAAUCAAUGAUCGUAGCAGCUUGGCACAGAUCGAAAUCAAAUUUGUUGGAGAAGGAAAAUUAUGUUCCUGUUUACAACAGUGCAUCCGUAUCGAAAUCCGUGUCAAACGAACAACUACUAGAUUUAGGUAUGAAAACUCUUGAACAAUACCCAUUCGAUGAAAUGAUGUGGCGUCCGACGAUCAAGUUUACAACUUGCUUUUACUACUACUACUUAUCUACAAUAAUUGAGCAAGUCUUUCCGGCAAUAUUUUUCGAUGCAUUCUUGGACCUAAUUGGGAAACCACACAAACGUUUGUUACCUUUGCAACAAAAAAUAUAUGUUGUAACGAUGGCUUUAUCUUACUUUACUACAAAAUCUUGGAAAUUUGACAAUUCAAACUUUUUGGGAUUAAUUGAUAAGAUACCAGAUGUGGACCGCAAAGAAUUUGACUACGAUUUCAAAGAUGUAGAUAUCAUCGAAUUCAUGAAAAAUGCAACAAUCGGCUCUCAAAAAUAUCUAUUUAAUGUCGACGAAACAAAAUUACCGUUUGCGAGAAAACUAUUAAACCGAUUCGUAUGGAUGGACAGAAUAUUAAAAACAUUUGGUGCAACAAUAUUGGUAUUCAUUUUAUUUUACUUUAAUAUCAUACCAAGCACAUUCCUUUAUAAUAUAUGUUGUCAUUUUAGAUCAAUUUAAUUGAAUUCUUAUUUAAUGCACAAUUUAUUUGUCGGGAAACAUAAUUUUUAUUUUUUUAUCUGUCAUGUUGUUCUCUACAAUAAUUGAAUGAAGACUCCGGGUCAACGUUCAAACGUCUUUAAUUUAAACGAAUUAUCAGAAAUAUAAUUGGUAACGUAAACACUAAGAAUCAAUAUUAAUAUAUUUUAUAAGCUUGUAUUUUUUGAUUUUACCUAAUAGUGUUUUAAUUAAUUGUGUUGUUGUUGUCUAGUAUAAAUACACAGCUGAUGUCUGGCUGUUACAUUAAAUUCUAAAAUGUUAGUAUGUUGA